UGGUAACAGGGAGGAAGGGGGGGAUGAUGUCAGGUCAGUAUUUCCCUUACAUCUGGGGCUACAAACACGCUACAAUGGCCGGUACAAAGGGCAGCCAAGUCGCAAGACGGAGCAAAUCCCAUCAAAGCCGGUCUCAGUUCGGAUUGCAGGCUGAAACUCGCCUGCAUGAAGCUGGAAUCGCUAGUAACGGUAGGUCAGCUAUACUACCGUGAAUACGUUCCCGGGUCUUGUACACACCGCCCGUCAAACCAUGAAAGUCGCCAA
rnacentral:rRNA from 1 species